rnacentral:rRNA from 1 species
AGUGAACGCUGGCGGUAGGCCUAACACAUGCAAGUCGAACGGCAGCACAGGAGAGCUUGCUCUCUGGGUGGCGAGUGGCGGACGGGUGAGGAAUACAUCGGAAUCUACUCUGUCGUGGGGGAUAACGUAGGGAAACUUACGCUAAUACCGCAUACGACCUACGGGUGAAAGCAGGGGACCUUCGGGCCUUGCGCGAUUGAAUGAGCCGCUGUCGGAUUAGCUAGUUGGCGGGGUAAAGGCCCACCAAGGCGACGAUCCGUAGCUGGUCUGAGAGGAUGAUCAGCCACACUGGAACUGAGACACGGUCCAGACGCCUACGGGAGGCAGCGGUGGGGAAUAUUGGACAAUGGGCGCAAGCCUGAUCCAGCCAUACCGCGUGAGUGAAGAAGGCCUUCGGGUUGUAAAGCCCUUUUGUUGGGAAAGAAAUCCAGCUGGCUAAUACCCGGUUGGGAUGACGGUACCCAAAGAAUAAGCACCGGCUAACUUCGUGCCAGCCGCCGCCGUAA